rnacentral:rRNA from 1 species
UUACGGGAGGCAGCAGUGGGGAAUCUUCCGCAAUGGGCGAAAGCCUGACGGAGCAACGCCGCGUGAGUGAAGAAGGCCUUCGGGUUGUAAAACUCUGUCUUCAGGGAAGAAAAAAAUGACGGUACCUGAGGAGGAAGCCACGGCUAACUACGUGCCAGCAGCCGCGGUAAUACGUAGGUGGCAAGCGUUGUCCGGAAUUACUGGGCGUAAAGCGCGCGCAGGCGGGAAUUUAAGUCAGGAGUGAAAACUGAGGGCUCAACCCUCAGCCUGCUUCUGAAACUGAGUUUCUUGAGGGUAUGAGAGGAAAGCGGAAUUCCUAGUGUAGCGGUGAAAUGCGUAGAUAUUAGGAGGAACACCAGUGGCGAAGGCGGCUUUCUGGCAUACAACUGACGCUGAGGCGCGAAAGCGUGGGGAGCAAACGGGAUUAGAUACCCGUGUAGUC